GAUGAACGCUGGCGGCGUGCUUAACACAUGCAAGUCGAACGGAAAGGCCCAAGCUUGCUUGGGUACUCGAGUGGCGAACGGGUGAGUAACACGUGGGUGAUCUGCCCUGCACUUCGGGGUAAGCCUGGGAAACUGGGUCUAAUACCGGAUAGGACCACUUCUUGGAUGUUGUGGUGGAAAGUUUUUUCGGUGUGGGAUGAGCUCGCGGCCUAUCAGCUUGUUGGUGGGGUAAUGGCCUACCAAGGCGUCGACGGGUAGCCGGCCUGAGAGGGUGUACGGCCACAUUGGGACUGAGAUACGGCCCAGACUCCUACGGGAGGCAGCAGUGGGGAAUAUUGCACAAUGGGCGCAAGCCUGAUGCAGCGACGCCGCGGGGGGGAUGACGGCCUUCGGGUUGUAAACUCCUUUCGCUAGGGACGAAGCGUUUUGUGACGGUACCUGGAGAAGAAGCACCGGCUAACUACGUG
rnacentral:rRNA from 1 species